rnacentral:rRNA from 1 species
GCGAGUGAAGAGGGAAAAGCUCAAAUUUAAACUNGGGGGUCUACGGCCGUCCGAGUUGUAAUUUAGAGAGAUGUUUUCCGCGUCGGACCACACACAAGUCCUUUGGGAUAAGGCUUCAUAGAGGGUGAGAAUCCCGUACAUGGUGUGGACUACCGGGGCUAUGUGAUGCAUCCUCGAAGAGUCGAGUUGUUUGGGAAUGCAGCUCAAAAUGGGUGGUAAAUUCCAUCUAAAGCUAAAUAUUGGGGAGAGACCGAUAGCGCACAAGUACCGUGAGGGAAAGAUGAAAAGCACUUUGGAAAGAGAGUUAAACAGUACGUGAAAUUGCUGAAAGGGAAACGCUUGGAGUCAGUCGCGUCUUAUUGGACUCAGCCGUGGUUCUCCGCGGUGUACUUCUGAUGAGAUGGGCCAACAUCGAUUUUGUUCGCCGUACAAAGGCGGGAGGAAGGUGGCAUCUCUCGGGAUGUGUUUAUAGCCUCUCGUUGUAUGCGGUGGGUGGGAUCGAGGAACGCAGCGCGCCCGCAAGGGUUGGGAUUCGUCCACAUACGCGCUUCGGAUGUUGGCGUAAUGGCUUUAAACGACCCGUCUUGAAACACGGACCAAGGAGUCUAACAUGCAAGCGAGUGUUAGGGUGUAAAAACCCUUGCGCGUAAUGAAAGUG